rnacentral:lncRNA from 1 species
UAAAAGAAUAUAAUAUUUAACAAUAAUUGUAAUUUGGGCACACAGGGGCCCAUAGCAGUGUGUGGCACUGGGGCCUGAGCAAGACUGAGAAAUCCAGGAAGGCUUCCCUGAAGAAGUGUCUUUUAUGCAGUCGUAAAAGACAUGAAGGGGUUCGUUGAGUGGGCUGUAUGAAGAGUUUUCCAGGCAGAGGAGACAGUUCAGGCAAAGGCCCUUGAGGAAACUUGUUCCUGCUCAUUGUGGAGUCACUACCUAUCCAGACCUGCCCAGAGCUUUCCCAGCUGAGUUCCCAAGAGGGCAGGACACUACCCUGGACCAGCUCCAUUUCUAUCUCCAUCCAGACUGCAGGCCUGUGGAGCUUGAAUGUAAGCCUAUGUCCACUGGAGACACUCUUGGGCUAUGGAUCUCAGGUCACCAUACCCUUCAACCCUGAAGGUUUAAAUGCCCUCUGGAGAGGCCGGGCCCUGCUGACUUGCCUCAGACCAAGCCCUGGCCACAGCACCCCUGGGCAGAGUAACCCUCGCCUCCC